rnacentral:rRNA from 1 species
AGAGUUUGAUCAUGGCUCAGGAUGAACGCUAGCGGCAGGCUUAACACAUGCAAGUCGAGGGGUAUAGGUUUUCGGACCUAGAGACCGGCGCACGGGUACGUAACGCGUAUGCAAUCUACCUUUUACAGAGGGAUAGCCCAGAGAAAUUUGGAUUAAUACCUCAUAGUAUUAUUUAAUGGCAUCAUUUAAUAAUUAAAGUUCCAACGGUAAAAGAUGAGCAUGCGUCCCAUUAGCUAGAUGGUAAGGUAACGGCUUACCAUGGCAACGAUGGGUAGGGGUCCUGAGAGGGAGAUCCCCCACACUGGUACUGAGACACGGACCAGACUCCUACGGGAGGCAGCAGUGAGGAAUAUUGGUCAAUGGGCGCAAGCCUGAACCAGCCAUGCCGCGUGCAGGAUGACGGUCCUAUGGAUUGUAAACUGCUUUUGUACAGGAAGAAACAGUUCUACGUGUAGAACCUUGACGGUACUGUAAGAAUAAGGAUCGGCUAACUCCGUGCCAGCAGCCGCGGCAAUACGGAGGAUCCAAGCGUUAUCCGGAAUCAUUGGGUUUAAAGGGUCCGUAGGCGGUUUUGUAAGUCAGUGGUGAAAGCCCAUCGCUCAACGGUGGAACGGCCAUUGAUACUGCAAGACUUGAAUUAUUAGGAAGUAACUAGAAUAUGUAGUGUAGCGGUGAAAUGCUUAGAUAUUACAUGGAAUACCAAUUGCGAAGGCAGGUUACUACUAGUGGAUUGACGCUGAUGGACGAAAGCGUGGGGAGCGAACAGGAUUAGAUACCCUAGUAGUCC